ensembl:lncRNA
GAUCAAUUAUCCAGCACCUCAAGUAUCUCUGUCUGCCAUGUUGUGACCCACCUUCUGGAGAGGACUACAUGACAAGGCACUGAAGAAGGCCUCUGGACGACAGCCAAUGAGAAACUGAGAACCUCCAUCCAACAAUCAGCAAGGAACUAAAUUCUACCAAAAGUCAUUUGAACGAGCUUAGAAGUGGAUCCUUGCUCCCAUUUGAACCUUGAGACUGCUGUAGCCUCUGCUGACACCUUCAGUCUUGUGAAAGAGACCAGAGCCAGAGAACCCAGCUAACACUUCCAGAUUCCUGACUGACUAAACUGUGAGGGAAAGGCAACAAAAGCAAAAAUAAACAAAUGAGAAUACAUUAAACUAAAAGGCUUUUGUACAGCAAAGGAAACCACCAACAGAGCAAAAAGUCACCCUGCUGAAUGGGAGAAUAUAUUUGCAAAGAAUAUAUUGAUAAGAGGUUGAUAUCCAAAAUAUAUAAAGAAUUCAUACAGGUCAGUAU